rnacentral:rRNA from 1 species
CGCGUAGGUGGUUUGUUAAGUUGGAUGUGAAAGCCCCGGGCUCAACCUGGGAACUGCAUCCAAAACUGGCAAGCUAGAGUACGGUAGAGGGUGGUGGAAUUUCCUGUGUAGCGGUGAAAUGCGUAGAUAUAGGAAGGAACACCAGUGGCGAAGGCGACCACCUGGACUGAUACUGACACUGAGGUGCGAAAGCGUGGGGGAGCAAACA